UUGAAAUAGACAUGAUGGGUUGCUGCUGGUUCUCCAGGGAACAUGUGCACACUUGUCAUCUUUAUAUCUUCACCUGUGCACCUUGUGUAGACCUGAAUAUCUUUCUGAAUGCCUAGCAUUCUGGUUUGAGGAUUGACUUUUCUGUCUUUCCUUAUAUUUUCAGGUCUAUGUUUCCUCAUAUACCCCAAUGUAUGUUAUAGAAUGUAAUAAAUAGGUGUUUCUGCCUAUAAACUUAUA
rnacentral:misc_RNA from 1 species